UGCUGGAGGUAUCAGAAGUGCGAAUGCUGACAUAAGUAACGAUAAAGCGGGUGAAAAGCCCGCUCGCCGGAAGACCAAGGGUUCCUGUCCAACGUUAAUCGGGGCAGGGUGAGUCGACCCCUAAGGCGAGGCCGAAAGGCGUAGUCGAUGGGAAACGGGUUAAUAUUCCCGUACUUGGUGUUACUGCGAAGGGGGGACGGAGAAGGCUAUGUUGGCCGGGCGACGGUUGUCCCGGUUUAAGCGUGUAGGCUGGUUUUCCAGGCAAAUCCGGAAAAUCAAGGCUGAGGCGUGACGACGAGGCACUACGGUGCUGAAGCAACAAAUGCCCUGCUUCCAGGAAAAGCCUCUAAGCAUCAGGUAACAUCAAAUCGUACCCCAAACCGACACAGGUGGUCAGGUAGAGAAUACCAAGGCGCUUGAGAGAACUCGGGUGAAGGAACUAGGCAAAAUGGUGCCGUAACUUCGGGAGAAGGCACGCUGACACGUAGGUGAAGUGAUUUACUCAUGGAGCUGAAGUCAGUCGAAGAUACCAGCUGGCUGCAACUGUUUAUUAAAAACACAGCACUGUGCAAACACGAAAGUGGACGUAUACGGUGUGACGCCUGCCCGGUGCCGGAAGGUUAAUUGAUGGGGUCAGCGCAAGCGAAGCUCCUGAUCGAAGCCCCGGUAAACGGCGGCCGUAACUAUAACGGUCCUAAGGUAGCGAAAUUCCUUGUCGGGUAAGUUCCGACCUGCACGAAUGGCGUAAUGAUGGCCAGGCUGUCUCCACCCGAGACUCAGUGAAAUUGAACUCGCUGUGAAGAUGCAGUGUACCCGCGGCAAGACGGAAAGACCCCGUGAACCUUUACUAUAGCUUGACACUGAACAUUGAGCCUUGAUGUGUAGGAUAGGUGGGAGGCUUUGAAGUGUGGACGCCAGUCUGCAUGGAGCCGACCUUGAAAUACCACCCUUUAAUGUUUGAUGUUCUAACGUGGACCCGUUACCCGGGUUGCGGACAGUGUCUGGUGGGUAGUUUGACUGGGGCGGUCUCCUCCUAAAGAGUAACGGAGGAGCACGAAGGUUGGCUAAUCCUGGUCGGACAUCAGGAGGUUAGUGCAAUGGCAUAAGCCAGCUUGACUGCGAGCGUGACGGCGCGAGCAGGUGCGAAAGCAGGUCAUAGUGAUCCGGUGGUUCUGAAUGGAAGGGCCAUCGCUCAACGGAUAAAAGGUACUCCGGGGAUAACAGGCUGAUACCGCCCAAGAGUUCAUAUCGACGGCGGUGUUUGGCACCUCGAUGUCGGCUCAUCACAUCCUGGGGCUGAAGUAGGUCCCAAGGGUAUGGCUGUUCGCCAUUUAAAGUGGUACGCGAGCUGGGUUUAGAACGUCGUGAGACAGUUCGGUCCCUAUCUGCCGUGGGCGCUGGAGAACUGAGGGGGGCUGCUCCUAGUACGAGAGGACCGGAGUGGACGCAUCACUGGUGUUCGGGUUGUCAUGCCAAUGGCACUGCCCGGUAGCUAAAUGCGGAAGAGAUAAGUGCUGAAAGCAUCUAAGCACGAAACUUGCCCCGAGAUGAGUUCUCCCUGAGACUU
rnacentral:rRNA from 2 species